rnacentral:rRNA from 1 species
UACGUAGGGGGCAAGCGUUGUUCGGAAUUACUGGGCGUAAAGGGCGCGUAGGCGGCACAGCAAGUCGGGAGUGAAAGCCCGGGGCUCAACCCCGGAACUGCUUUCGAAACUGCUGAGCUAGAGUACAGAAGGGGCAACCGGAAUUCCCAGUGUAGCGGUGAAAUGCGUAGAUAUUGGGAAGAACACCUGAGGCGAAGGCGGGUUGCUGGGCUGAUACUGACGCUGAGGCGCGACAGCGUGGGGAGCAAACAGG